UACGGAAGGCAGCAGGGGGAAUAUUGCACAAUGGGCGCAAGCCUGAUGCAGCCAUGCCGCGUGUAUGAAGAAGGCCUUCGGGUUGUAAAGUACUUUCAGUCGUGAGGAAGGUGUUAAGGUUAAUAACCUUAGCAAUUGACGUUAGCGACAGAAGAAGCACCGGCUAACUCCGUGCCAGCAGCCGCGGUAAUACGGAGGGUGCGAGCGUUAAUCGGAAUUACUGGGCGUAAAGGGCACGCAGGCGGUUAAUUAAGUUGGAUGUGAAAUCCCCGGGCUUAACCUGGGAAUGGCAUUCAAGACUGGUUAGCUAGAGUCUUGUAGAGGGGGUAGAAUUCCAUGUGUAGCGGUGAAAUGCGUAGAGAUGUGGAGGAAUACCGGUGGCGAAGGCGGCCCCUGGCAAAGACUGACGCUCAUGUGCGAAAGCGUGGGGAGCAAAC
rnacentral:rRNA from 1 species